rnacentral:rRNA from 1 species
AGUGAACGCUGGCGGCAGGCCUAAUACAUGCAAGUCGAACGGCAGCACAGCAGAGCUUGCUCUGUGGGUGGCGAGUGGCGGACGGGUGAGGAAUACAUGGGAAUCUGCCCAGUCGUGGGGGAUAACGUAUGGAAACGUACGCUAAUACCGCAUGCGCCCUAAGGGGGAAAGCCGGGGACCGCAAGGCCUGGCGCGAUUGGAUGAGCCCAUGUUCGAUUAGCUAGUUGGCGGGGUAAAGGCCCACCAAGGCGACGAUCGAUAGCUGGUCUGAGAGGAUGAUCAGCCACACUGGAACUGAGACACGGUCCAGACUCCUACGGGAGGCAGCAGUAGGGAAUAUUGGACAAUGGGGGCAACCCUGAUCCAGCCAUGCCGCGUGAGUGAAGAAGGCCCUCGGGUUGUAAAGCUCUUUUGUCCGGAAAGAAAAGCAAUCGGUUAAUACCGGUUGUUCUGACGGUACCGGAAGAAUAAGCACCGGCUAACUUCGUGCC